rnacentral:rRNA from 1 species
UACGUAGGCAGCGAGCGUUGUUCGGAGUUACUGGGCGUAAAGAGCGCGCAGGCGGCUGGUCAAGUCCGAUGUGAAAGCUCCCGGCUUAACUGGGAAAUUGCAUCGGAAACUGAUCGGCUGGAAGGUGGGAGAGGGUAGCGGAAUUCCCGGUGUAGUGGUGAAAUGCGUAGAUAUCGAGAGGAACACCUGCGGCGAAGGCGGGUUGCUGGGCUGAUACUGACGCUGAGGCGCGAAAGCCAGGGGAGCGAACGGG